rnacentral:siRNA from 1 species
AGCUCGUAGUUGAACCUUGGGAUG